rnacentral:rRNA from 1 species
GACGAACGCUGGCGGCGUGCCUAAUACAUGCAAGUCGAGCGGACUUGAUGAGAAGCUUGCUUCUCUGAGAGUUAGCGGCGGACGGGUGAGUAACACGUAGGCAACCUGCCUGUAAGACUGGGAUAACUACCGGAAACGGUAGCUAAUACCGGAUAGGUGAUUUUCUCGCAUGAGGAAGUCAAGAAAGACGGAGUAAUCUGUCACUUACGGAUGGGCCUGCGGCGCAUUAGCUAGUUGGUGAGGUAAUGGCUCACCAAGGCGACGAUGCGUAGCGGACCUGGGAGGGGGAACGGCCACACGGGGACUGAGACACGGCCCAGACUCCUACGGGAGGCAGCAGUAGGGAAUCUUCCGCAAUGGACGAAAGUCUGACGGAGCAACGCCGCGUGAGUGAUGAAGGUUUUCGGAUCGUAAAGCUCUGUUGCCAGGGAAGAACGUCUUAGAGAGUAACUGCUCUAAGAGUGACGGUACCUGAGAAGAAAGCCCCGGCUAACUACGUGCCAGCCGCCGCCGUAA